UCGCUGCCGCCUUCUCGCCUCCCUUAAAUCCAUCCCCCGAUUUCCCCAUCGCCAUCGCCAUUGCCAAUCUGCCCGCCACAUCGCGCCGCAAAUCGCCGGGAGAGCCCAAGCCCACGCGAGAGAGCGGUUGCGCUCCGGCCAUGUCGUCCGCGGUCGUCUUCCGCCGCGCGCGCUCGCGGUCCUCGCCGGGGCGCUUCGACUCGACGCGGCGCACGCGGCCGCGGGUGGAGGAGGAGGAGGAGGAGCGGCCGGCGGGCCGCGGCGAGGAGAAGGCCGACGCGGUGUCCGCGCGCUGCCCGACGACAUGCUGCUGGAGGUCUUCAGGCGCCUGCCGCCGCCGACGGGCGCCGUCCGCUGCGGGGCGGUAUGCCGGCGCUGGCGCCGCGUUGUGUCCCGCGCGCCCGGCCUCCCCGCCCCGCCCCGCCACUUCGGCUUCUUCCGCAACCACGGCCCGUCCGCGCUGCCGCCGUUCGUCCCCACCGCGGGCGUCCCGCUCGGCCUCGGCUUCCUCCCCGUCUCGCCCGCCUGCGGCGUCAUCCUCGUCGACUGCCGCGGCCACCGCCUCCUCCUGCGCGAGCUCGGCGGCCAUCUCGCCACGGAACUCAACCUCCUCGUCUGCAACCCGCUGGAGAAGGCGUUCGUUCGGCUGCCGCCCCUCCCCACCGUCGGUCACACGGUGUUCUGCCACACCAUCGUCCCCGGGGAAGGCGCCGAGUUCCGCGUCCUCGUCGUGCUCUUCGGUGCGACCUCCCCCAACUUCUAUGUUCUCAUUUACUCGUCUGUCUCCUCUGCCUGGGAGGUCGCCAUCGGCGCGCUGAAGCGGCCCCUGAAGCCCCACCGAGGCCCUACCGCCGUCGUCGGGGACAUGGUGUACAUGCUACCGGCCGAUGACAACCCCAAAUACAUUCUGGCUGUCAACACGGCCAAGAUGACCAUGUCUGGGGUGCCGCUCCCCAACGCCGAGAUGCCCCUGUACACCGGCAACAACUGGGUCGGUAAGACGGAGGAUGGCCGUCUCUGCUUCUUCGUGAUCCGGGAGCCUCUGCUUCUAUUGAAAUGGGUGCUUGAAGCGCCUCGGACAUGGACGCCGCAGGAGCCGGUGGCAUUGCGGCCGCUGAUGACCCCAGCCACAGUCGGGGACCUCCACGGCAUGAAGCUCUCGGCCAGGAUCGGCGACCAGAUAAGCAACGGGUGCAAGCUUGUGAGCUUCGGUGGCUUCUGCGAGGGCACCGAGACAUUGUUCUUCAUCAUGGCUGACUGGGUGGUUUCGCUUGACAUCAAGACGUUCAAGAUGGAGAGGCUAUGGCACAACGACGACGAGCGGAGACCCCUCGGCGACCUCUACCCGUACGAGAUGGUGGCUUGGCCGCCGGCGCUCAAGGAAUUGAUGAAGCCUCCGGUGAAUGCAUAGUUCGUUUGAUUACUGCGUGUUGAUUACUGUAGUGUGUGUUUUGGUGGUGUCAGUGAGAAGGGAAUUGCUAUGUUCAGUAUUACUGUCGAAUCUGUACUUUUGGAUAUGCUUGAAAUGUGGUAAAGAUAAUGAUAUUUGUGGUUGCAGUUAGAACUACUAUAA